GAUAAGAACGUAGUGAAAUGCGAUAAGUAAUGUGAAUUGCAGAAUUCAGUGAAUCAUCGAAUCUUUGAACGCACAUUGCGCCCAUUAGUAUUCUAGUGGGCAUGCCUGUUCGAGCGUCAUUAAGUCCACUUAAGCCCUGCUUAGUGUUGGGAGACUGCUCCAGCGGUGCUACCCUGUAGCUACCCUGCAGCUCCUCAAAGACAGCGGCGGAGUUGUGGUAUCCUCUGAGCUUAGUAACUUGUUCUAGCUUUCGAGUACACCACUUCCCCUGCCGUAAAACCCUUAAUUUUUAAUGGUUGACCUCGGAUCAGGUAGGAAUACCCGCUGAACUUAAGCAUAUCAAUAAGCGGAGGA
rnacentral:misc_RNA from 1 species